rnacentral:rRNA from 1 species
AGCGAGCGCUGGCGGCAGGCCUAGCACAUGCAAGUCGAACGAACUCUUCGGAGUUAGUGGCGGACGGGGGAGGAACACGGGGGAACGUGCCUUUUGGUUCGGAAUAACUCAUGUAAACUUGUGCUAAUACCGAAUGUGCCCUUCUGGGGAAAGAUUCAUCGACAUUAGAGCGGCCCGAGUCUGAUUAGCUAGUUGGGGAGGUAAGCGCUCAUCACGGCUACGAUCAGUAGCGGGUCUGAGAGGAUGACCCGCCACACUGGGACUGAGACACGGCCCAGACUACUGCAGGAGGCAGGAGUGGGGAAUCCUGCGAUAUCGGCGAAAGCAUGAAGCAGCCAUGGCGGGUGAAUGAUGUAGGUGUUAGGAUUGUAAAAUACUUUAACCGGGGACGAUACUGACGGUACCCGGAGAAGAAGCCCCGGCUAACUUCGUG